rnacentral:rRNA from 1 species
UAAGUACGGAAGUUCCUGAUUGCACGCUGUCAAGAAAAGCCUCUAGGAAGAGUAGUACUGCCCGUACCGCAAACCGACACAGAUAGAUGAGGAGAGAAUCCUAAUGUGAGCGAGAGAACUCUCGUUAAGUCACUCGGCAAAAUGACCCCGUAACUUCGGGAGAAGGGGUGCUCUAUUAGGGUGCAAGCCCGAGAGAGCCGCAGUGAAUAGGCCCAGGCGACUGUUUAGCAAAAACACAGGUCUCUGCAAAACCGUAAGGUGACGUAUAGGGGCUGACGCCUGCCCGGUGCUGGAAGGUUAAGAGGAGUGCUUAGCUUCGGCGAAGGUACGAAUUGAAGCCCCAGUAAACGGCGGCCGUAACUAUAACGGUCCUAAGGUAGCGAAAUUCCUUGUCGGGUAAGUUCCGACCCGCACGAAAGGCGCAACGAUCUGGGCACUGUCUCAACGAGAGACUCGGUGAAAUUAUAGUACCUGUGAAGAUGCAGGUUACCCGCGACAGGACGGAAAGACCCCGUGGAGCUUUACUGCAACCUGAUAUGGAAUGUUUGUACCGCUUGUACAGGAUAGGUAGGAGCCGAAGAGACGUGUGCGCUAGCAUACGAGGAGGCAAUGGUGGGAUACUACCCUGGCUGUAUG